AACGAACGCUGGCGGCAGGCCUAACACAUGCAAGUCGAGCGAGGACUUCGGUUCUAGCGGCGGACGGGUGAGUAACGCGUGGGAAUGUGCCCUUCUCUACGGAAUAGCCCUGGGAAACUGGGAGUAAUACCGUAUACGCCCUAUUGGGGAAAGAUUUAUCGGAGAAGGAUCAGCCCGCGUUGGAUUAGGUAGUUGGUGGGGUAAUGGCCUACCAAGCCGACGAUCCAUAGCUGGUUUGAGAGGAUGGUCAGCCACACUGGGACUGGGACACGGCCCGGACUCCUACGGGAGGCAGCAGUGGGGAAUCUUAGACAAUGGGGGCAACCCUGAUCGAGCCAUGCCGCGUGAGUGAUGAAGGCCUUAGGGUUGUAAAGCUCUUUCAGCUGGGAAGAUAAUGACGUUACCAGCAGAAGAAGCCCCGGCUAACUCCGUG
rnacentral:rRNA from 1 species